rnacentral:rRNA from 1 species
ACUUAGGAGCCGAGCCUAGAGAUGCCAUGCAUGUCUAAGUACAAGCCGUGUUUACACGGCGAGACCGCGGACGGCUCAUUAAAUCAGUCGUGGUCCAUAUGGGCUAGAGUUAAUCCUACUUGGAUAACUGUGGUAAUUCCAGAGCUAAUACAUGCAACUCUUAUCCUGACGUAGCGCGGCUUAUCUCACGGUUUGUCGUAGCGCUGACGGAUGCUUUUAUUAGACCAAACCGCUGGGUGCGUGUUCGUGUUUAUUCGCGGAUGCGUACCACUCGUUUAAUGGUGACUCUGGAUAACCUUUUUGACAAGCGCACGUACUCCUCGUGGGACGGCGCUGCCACUUUCGAGUGUCUGCCUUAUCAGCUAUCAACCGUUUGUUACGUGCACACGAUGGCUUUGACGGGUAACGGGGAAUCAGAGUUCGAUUCCGGAGAGGCAGCCUGAGAGACGGCUACCACGUCCAAGGACGGCAGCAGGCACGCAAAUUACCCAAUCCCAGCAUCUGGGGGAGGUAGUGACGAAAUCUAACGAUGCGGGCGCCCUUUCUGGGGCCCCGCAAUCGGAAUGGCCACUUUCUAAACAACCUGUUGAGAACCUACUGAAGGGCAAGUCUGGUGCCAGCAGCCGCGGUAAUUCCAGCUUCAGUAGCAUCUAUUAAAGUUGCUGCGGUUAAAAGGCUCGCAGUUGAAUGUCAGUAUCGAGCGCACUAGUCGGUUGGAUCUUGAUCUUAUGUUACAUAUGUAUCGCCGUGAGUCGUGUACCGAGUAAACCUGGCGUUGCCUGGGAGGAGGAGAUGUGGAGGAGUGCGCUGAUGCGCUUGUGCGUGUGUUGCUCUAGCCUCGUGUUACGAGUGAUGCCGUGCUUGUGUGUUGGUGUUUCUUCUCUCUUUUUUUUCUUUCGGUGUGGCGUUGGGCCUUGGAUUGCACACUCCAAGUCCGCCGCUUAUGCUUAAAACUCUUCUUAGAGGGAUUCACGGUUCUGAAGCCGUAAGAGACUGAGAGCAAUAACAGGUCUGUGAUGCCCUUAGAUGUUCUGGGCCGCACGCGCGCUACAAUGCCGGGCACAGCAGGUAGUUUUCCUACUCCGACAGGAGCGGGUAACCCUGUGAAAGCCCUAUGUCUUACAGUUUAACGGGUGUCGAGCUCGUCUCGAUGCUCUUCUGGCGUGAUUGGGCCUGGGUCUUGCAAUUUUUUCCCACUAACGAGGAAUGCCUUGUAGCGGCGGGUCACUGAGCCCGCCGUGACUCAGUCCCUGCCCUUUGUACACACCGCCCGUCGCUACUACCGAUUGGGUGUACCAGUGAGAGCCUUGGACUGGCGUCCGCUG